GGAUUAGAUACCCUGGUAGUCCUUGCCGUAAACGAUGUACACUUGAUGUAGCUGGUCUCAACCCCAGCUGUGUCGUAGCUAACGCGAUAAGUGUACCGCCUGAGGAGUACGCUCGCAAGGGUAAAACUCAAAAGAAUUGACGGGGGCCCGCACAAGCAGUGGAGCAUGUGGUUUAAUUCGAUGCAACGCGAAGAACCUUACCCAGACUUGACAUAUACUUGACAGCGGCAGAAAUGUCGUCUUCCGAAAGGACAGGUAUACAGGUGCUGCAUGGCUGUCGUCAGCUCGUGCCG
rnacentral:rRNA from 1 species